AAAUUUUGCCACAACAAUAAUCUCCACAAAGUAUAUUGUAUGUAAAUUUGUGGGAUAAUUAACUUCCAAUUCAAAUUGGCUCCGUAUGCGUCUUGAUAUUUUUUGAACAGUAUUUUUUGAACACUUUACUGUUCAUAUGUAUAGGAUACUUUGAUUUUCAAAAUUAAUAUAAAAAAUUGUCAAAACAAAAUUUAUUCAUGUUUGAUGUCUUAUCACACGAGUUCAUAUAACAUAGUGUAUAAAUAACAUAUCAUUGAAUUAAUUAUUAAAUCACCACAAUAAAAACAAGCAUGGAGAACCAUCUAUGACAUGCAAGUAGACAUAACUACAUACUGCUCAUCCAUACAAGCUGCUAUAAGGAACUAAUAAAGAACCAGCAAACCAAACUGAACACAAAAAACCAUGUUUCUUUAGAGUACAUGAAUUUUGCCAACAAUGUCUUGGCCAAGCGAUAAGAAGAGGAUUUAUGAGACAUGUAAGCUUGAGUUCGAGUCCAAAUAAAAAAAUACAUGAAAUUUGUCUUACAUGAAUGGCUAAACAUGACUUUAUUCACAAUAUCAAAUAUGCAAAUGCUAUGAAAUGUAGAGUAAACUAGUUCUUCACUGCAAAGUAAAACUGAAAAAUAGAGAUCCAACCAGUUGACGGUGCCAUAAAACAGAAAGCUCAAACGAUGAUAAGCAUAAUCAAGUAUCAACCACCUAUCAUUGAGGCAAAGAAUGAAUAAGAAUUUAACAAGAAACUUGAUUAAGGAAAUCAUAAAUACAUGGACAGAGGCAUAUUCAAGAUUUUUGUAGGGAAGUAAUUAUUAUCCAUGAAAAUAGUGUUUAAAAGAAAAUUUUGAAUGUUUAUGGAAAAUUUCUUUUAAAAUUUCUUAUUUUCUAAUUUUAACAGUGUCCCAAAAAAAUAUGAGGGUAUCCAACACAAAAUUUUUCUUUAAAUUUUUUUGAUUUUCAAUGUACACCCCACAAUGCCAUGUAAAUCCACCACUAUACAUGGAAAAAGCCAUAUUUACCUGUUUAGCUUAACAAGUUUCUCCUUAAAUUUUCAUUUCCUUGCGUAACAUUAUCCUUGUUUCUCCCAGAGUCAUAUAUAGAGGUAUUUGAUGUUGCCAGCCACGAUCCCAAAAUAUAUCAUUGCAGGUGGAUUGAUUAUCAACUAUUUCUUCCAUUGUGGUGAAACCUUCUGUUGUAUUAUUCUGAACUUGUUGGGGUUCCUUCACAACAAAAGACAGUUCUCAUUAAGUAAGUUAUGCUAGAAGUAAGUAAUUAAUUAAUUAAUUAAUUAUGCAUAUGACUUGUGUAUGUAUAUAAAAGUCAUCCAAUUCAUAAUAAUAUGUAGUUAUAUACUAACAUAACUUUGUUUCCAUCAUCGUUUCAUCAUUAGUAUCAAUAUGAUCAAGAACAACAAAUUAAUUAAUUCAGCAUAAUAGUUAGAAAAAAAAAAAUUGGUUAGGUACCUCUGUUACCUCUGUUAUGGCAGGCACAGGAUGUUUUGAAUCCAUGAUGACACUU
rnacentral:lncRNA from 1 species